rnacentral:rRNA from 1 species
CUACGUGCCAGCAGCCGCGGUAAUACGGAGGAUGCGAGCGUUAUCCGGAUUUAUUGGGUUUAAAGGGAGCGUAGGCUGGAGAUUAAGUGUGUUGUGAAAUGUAGACGCUCAACGUCUGACUUGCAGCGCAUACUGGUUUCCUUGAGUACGCACAACGUUGGCGGAAUUCGUCGUGUAGCGGUGAAAUGCUUAGAUAUGACGAAGAACUCCGAUUGCGAAGGCAGCUGACGGGAGCGCAACUGACGCUGAAGCUCGAAGGUGCGGGUAUCGAACAGGAUUAGAUACCCUGGUAGUCCGCACAGUAAACGAUGGAUGCCCGCUGUUGGUACUUGGUAUCAGCGGCUAAGCGAAAGCAUUAAGCAUCCCACCUGGGGAGUACGCCGGCAACGGUGAAACUCAAAGGAAUUGACGGGGGCCCGCACAAGCGGAGGAACAUGUGGUUUAAUUCGAUGAUACGCGAGGAACCUUACCCGGGCUUGAAUUGCAGAGGAAGGAUUUAGAGAUA